UGCCGGCGUUAGCAGUCUUUCCACAGCGAUAAAUCGGAAGACGGUACCAAGAGUGGAGUGAUAGUCCUGUCGUGCAGUCAACGUCGCAUUACGACUUUCCGCGAGUACAGGUAGCACGUGAAACCGGGUGCCCGAAAGCUCUGAAGAAGAGUGCAGCCUUAUAUCUUCACAUAUUGAAAAAAUUAUCUAAUUUAAAUUUUUAUAAAUAUUUGAACGUUACUUUUGAAAGGAUAAUUCUAAUUUUAUAAUUCGUUCUUUAGAUAUUUUUCUCGAAAAUAUUUGCAUAGUUAGAGCACUUGGCCGCCCACCGAAACCGGCAUACGUCAUUACUUCAGAAGAAUAUAAAAAUGACUUAAAGAAUAAUACUUUUCUAUCUUAAAGAUGAUAUUUCAAAA
rnacentral:lncRNA from 13 species